ensembl:misc_RNA 7SK 7SK RNA
GGAUGUGAGGGCAAUCUCGCUGCAACAUCUAUCACCCUGCUGAUCACCAGGGUUGAUUCAGUGGAUCUGGCUAUCAAGACGGUGUCCCCUUCCUUCCUCAAGGCUCCCUGUGCUUCCCUCCCAAAGCCACGCCCUUGGUAGAAGAGGACGACCUUCCCUGAUAGAGGAGGGCGAUUCUUCAGUUGAAGGUAUAUGAGUAGCUGAGUUCCCCUGCUAGAACCUUCAGUCAAGCUCUCGAGGACUAUUUUUAGGGGAAUGUAGGGUGGUCAAGCUUCCAAGACUCCAGACACGUCCAAAUGAAGUGCCACAUGUGGCAGUCUGCCUUUCUUU